rnacentral:rRNA from 1 species
GAUGAACGCUGACAGAAUGCUUAACACAUGCAAGUCAACUUGAACUUCGGUUUGGGUGGCGGACGGGUGAGUAACGCGUAAAGAACUUGCCUCACAGAUAGGGACAACAUUUGGAAACGAAUGCUAAUACCUGAUAUUAUGAUUAUAUGGCAUCGUAUAAUUAUGAAAGCUAUAUGCGCUGUGAGAGAGCUUUGCGUCCCAUUAGCUAGUUGGAGAGGUAACGGCUCACCAAGGCGAUGAUGGGUAGCCGGCCUGAGAGGGUGAUCGGCCACAAGGGGACUGAGACACGGCCCUUACUCCUACGGGAGGCAGCAGUGGGGAAUAUUGGACAAUGGACCAAGAGUCUGAUCCAGCAAUUCUGUGUGCACGAUGAAGUUUUUCGGAAUGUAAAGUGCUUUCAGUUGGGAAGAAAAAAAUGACGGUACCAACAGAAGAAGUGACGGCUAAAUACGUA